rnacentral:tRNA from 2 species
AUUUAUAUAGUUUAAGCAAAACUUUACAUUUUCAAUGUAAAAAUAAAAUUUAUUUUUUAUAAAUU